UACCUUCAAAGGAAGCACCGGCUAACUCCGUGCCAGCAGCCGCGGUAAUACGGAGGGUGCAAGCGUUAAUCGGAAUUACUGGGCGUAAAGCGCACGUAGGCGGCUUUGCAGGUCAGCGGUGAAAUCCCACGGCUUACCCGUGGAACUGCCGUUGAAACUGCUUGGCUUGAGUUUGUAAGAGGGUGGCGGAAUUCCUGGUGUAGGAGUGAAAUCCGUAGAUAUCAGGAGGAACAUCAGUGGCGAAGGCGGCCACCUGGUACAAUACUGACGCUGAGGUGCGAAAGCGUGGGGAUCAAACAGGAUUAGAUACCCUGGUAGUCCACGCUGUAAACGAUGGAUACUAGGUGUCGGGAGCUUGCUCUCGGUGCCGUAGCUAACGCAUUAAGUAUCCCGCCUGGGGAGUACGGUCGCAAGGCUGAAACU
rnacentral:rRNA from 1 species